UACGUAGGUGGCGAGCGUUGUCCGGAUUUACUGGGCGUAAAGGGCGUGCAGGCGGUUUGUUAAGUGCAGGGUGAAAGCUCCCGGCUCAACUGGGAGAGGUCCUUGCAUACUGGCGAACUCGAGGGAGGCAGAGGAAAGUGGAAUUCCCGGUGUAGUGGUGAUAUGCGUAGAUAUCGGGAGGAACACCGGUGGCGAAGGCGGUUCUCUGGGCCUGUGCUGACGCUGAGGAGCGAAAGCGUGGGGAGCGAACAGG
rnacentral:rRNA from 1 species